UCAACAGUCCAUUUGUGUUGGGCUUUCCAAUCACACUGAGUUUCUCGUAUCACUACAGGCAAAAUCCAGCAGCUUGAGGGAUUACCUGGGAGAUGACACUAGUAGUGACGUGCCUACGUGACAAGAGCCAUGCAAUGGGUUCCGUGUCGAAUCGUCUCCUCCCUGCAGUUGGGAGUUUGGGACAGCUGAGCUUUUUCAUCUAUAAUUGACAGGCGGCCGAGGUUAAGAAAUAGUUCACAAUGAAGCUCGAAUUUUUUGCCCCCUCUUCAAAGGGCGAGAAACCCAUAGCUACCCAUACAUUAUUAUUGUAUAUAUAAAAGAUAACUGAUAAUAAUAAUUGCAAAUCUGAAAUAUACUGAGAUAAACUUCA